CACACACUCUCUCUAUAAAUAUGAACUUGAUUGAACAAAACAUGCAUGUAUUGUAUAACAUAAUGUCCUAGGUGUGUCAUCUGAUGAAGAUCAUCAAAGGUUGCUGAGGCACUCUUCCAGCAGGUCUUCAGGCAUUAUGGCAAUCUGGAGGACAUCGUCUCCGGCUGUGGCCACCAAUUCACAUCACAAGUAUGGAGGGCCUUCAUGGAGAAGCUCGGCGUCACGGUCAGCCUCACUUCUGGGUAUCGACCUCAGUCCAACGGGCAGGUGGAGAGGAUGAACCAGGAGCUGGGGAGGAUCCUGAGGAGUCACUGUCUGGACCGGCAGGACCGGUGGUUCCUGGUCCCCUAGCUGAUUCUGUCCGCCACGACACUCCACCAACCCCCCGGACAUCGAGGGCAGUCCGGCAUAUGCUGUCAGAUCUCUGCCGGACUCCUGGUGUCGUGGGGUUCAACUCUAGUAUCUGGUAGACUGGGAUGUGUAUGGUCCUGAG
rnacentral:lncRNA from 1 species